rnacentral:rRNA from 1 species
AGAGUUUGAUCAUGGCUCAGAGCGAACGCUGGCGGCAGGCUUAACACAUGCAAGUCGAGCGCUCGUAGCAAUACGAGAGCGGCAGACGGGAGAGUAACACGUGGGAACAUGCCCUUCGGUUCGGAAUAACCCAGGGAAACUUGGGCUAAUACCGGAUACGUCCGUAAGGAGAAAGAUUUAUUGCCGAAGGAUUGGCCCGCGUCCGAUUAGCUAGUUGGUGAGGUAAUGGCUCACCAAGGCGACGAUCGGUAGCUGGUCUGAGAGGAUGAUCAGCCUCAUUGGGACUGAGACACGGCCCAAACUCCUACGGGAGGCAGCAGUGGGGAAUAUUGGACAAUGGGCGCAAGCCUGAUCCAGCCAUGCCGCGUGGGUGAUGGAGGCCCUAGGGUUGUAAAGCCCUUUCGGCGGGGAAGAUAAUGACGGUACCCGCAGAAGAAGCCCCGGCUAACUUCGUGCCAGCAGCCGCGGUAAUACGAAGGGGGCUAGCGUUGCUCGGAAUCACUGGGCGUAAAGCGCACGUAGGCGGGCAUUUAAGUCGGUGGUGAAAUCCUGGAGCUCAACUCCAGAACUGCCUUCGAUACUGGAUGUCUUGGAGUCCGGGAGAGGUGAGUGGAACUGCGAGUGUAGAGGUGAAAUUCGUAGAUAUUCGCAAGAACACCAGUGGCGAAGGCGGCUCACUGGCCCGGUACUGACGCUGAGGUGCGAAAGCGUGGGGAGCAAACAGGAUUAGAUACCCUGGUAGUCCACGCCGUAAACGAUGGAAGCUAGCCGUUGGCGGGUUUACUCGUCAGUGGCGCAGCUAACGCAUUAAGCUUCCCGCCUGGGGAGUACGGUCGCAAGAUUAAAACUCAAAGGAAUUGACGG